GCCGUCGUGGGACAAUGGUACUCCAACUGGCUUGAGACCAGUGCCCUUUUGGGCUUCCCGGUUCGAUUCCGGGCGACGGCG
rnacentral:tRNA from 1 species